rnacentral:rRNA from 1 species
UUAGGAAUUUUGCGCAAUGGGGGAAACCCUGACGCAGCAACGCCGCGUGGAGGACGAAGGCCUUCGGGUUGUAAACUCCUUUUGGCAGGAAAAAAUAAAAUGAUGGUACUUGCAGAAAAAGCACCGGCUAACCCUGUGCCAGCAGCCGCGGUAAUACAGGGGGUGCAAGCGUUAUUCGGAAUCACUGGGCGUAAAGCGCGCGUAGGUGGUUUAAUAAGUCUGAUGUGAAAGCCCACGACUUAAUCGUGGAAGUGCAUCGGAUACUGUUAGACUAGAGUGCAGGAGGGGUAAGUGGAAUUCCUAGUGUAGAGGUGAAAUUCGUAGAUAUUAGGAGGAACAUCGGAGGCGAAAGCGACUUACUAGACUGAUACUGACACUUAGGCGCGAAAGCGUGGGUAGC